rnacentral:tRNA from 1 species
AAUCAAUGAACUUGUAAAGUAUAUAUUUUGAAAAUAUAAAAAAGUGAUUAAAUUCACUAUUGAUUU